rnacentral:misc_RNA from 1 species
CAACCCUCAAGCUUCGCUUGGUGAUGGGGACCGCCUCUGGGCGGCCCUGAAACACGUGGGCGCCGACGGCCGGCCCUGAGCGUAGCAAAACCCUCGCUCGGGACCCCGGCUGGCGGUCGCCCCGAUCCAAACUCACAA